rnacentral:rRNA from 1 species
AGCGAACGCUGGCGGCAGGCCUAACACAUGCAAGUCGAACGGAUCCUUCGGGAUUAGUGGCGGACGGGUGAGUAACACGUGGGAACGUGCCCUUUGGUUCGGAACAACUCAGGGAAACUUGAGCUAAUACCGGAUGUGCCCUUCGGGGGAAAGAUUUAUCGCCAUUGGAGCGGCCCGCGUCUGAUUAGCUAGUUGGUGAGGUAAAGGCUCACCAAGGCGACGAUCAGUAGCUGGUCUGAGAGGAUGAUCAGCCACAUUGGGACUGAGACACGGCCCAAACUCCUACGGGAGGCAGCAGUGGGGAAUCUUGCGCAAUGGGCGAAAGCCUGACGCAGCCAUGCCGCGUGAAUGAUGAAGGUCUUAGGAUUGUAAAAUUCUUUCACCUGGGACGAUAAUGACGGUACCCGGAGAAGAAGCCCCGGCUAACUUCGUGCCAGCAGCCGCAGUAAUAC